CCCUUAGAUGUUCUGGGCCGCACGCGCGCUACACUGAUGAAUUCAACGAGCUCCUAACCUAGGCCGAAGGGUCCGGGUAAUCUUUGAAAUUUCAUCGUGAUGGGGAUAGAUUAUUGCAAUUAUUAAUCUUCAACGAGGAAUUCCUAGUAAGCGCGAGUCAUCAGCUCGCGUUGAUUACGUCCCUGCCCUUUGUACACACCGCCCGUCGCUCCUACCGAUUGAAUGGUCCGGUGAAAUGUUCGGACCGCGACAAGGCGGACGGUUCGCUGUCAGCUUUGCUGCGGGAAGUUCAUUAAACCCUAUCAUUUAGAGGAAGGAGAAGUCGUAACA
rnacentral:rRNA from 1 species